rnacentral:lncRNA from 1 species
GAGCAUCGUGAUUCACGUCGUGAGUUAUUUCCACUUUCUUCGAAGUCUUGGAUUCGUCGAUCUUCUUCAAUACGCACCGAUCCUUCAAGACUCCGACACUCUUCACGAAACUUGCCAAUACAAAAUCCGUAACAAUCUCCCCCUUUGGCAAUUUCGUGACAAAACUCAAAAACUCACAAAAUUACAAAAAUUACAUCUUAAAAAAAAACAAAGUUCAAUUGUCAUCACCAAAAUAUUGAACUCCUCGCGUGUAAUCCAAAUACAAUUUAAAAACCAAAUUACAUCAAAACUCCUAAAACAAACUCUAUGACUUAGACACAAUUAGGAGUCUUGAAGUUUUGAUUUCCUGCAAAAACUAUUAUCCAAAGAAUACAUGUAAAGUUAAUCAAUAAACACUUAUACCUAUACCUUCUCCCCCUUUCUCCGCUCUUGUGCUUAUUUAUCUAUGUUCUCCCCCUUUCUUUUUAAAUUCUCCUUUUCCUUCUUUUUCCUUCUUUUUCUUUUUCCUUCUUUUUCUCCCCCUCAAUUGAUCAAUACCUGUCCACCUAUGCUCUCCCCCUUUUUGUCAAAAAUUGCCAAAGCAAAGCAUAU